AAUCACCUCAAGCCCAUAAGCAUAAAUUUUGGUAGUUAAUUAUCUCUAAAAUGAUGAGAAUCAUUAAGUCAAUCUAAAACUCUUUGAAAUUUUUGCCUAGGCUAUAAUUAAUGGAUGUGAAUGAAAAGGAAAAGGAGGGGACAGCAAAAAUUUAAAGUAAAAUGUUAUUACAAAAUAAAUGUAUAUAAAUCAGUAACUUUCCUAAAAACCCAAAGUAAUCAGACAGAAAAUACAAAGGGAAAAUCUAUUUUAGCAAAUAAAAAUGAAUAAGUAUAGACUUAAGUAGAGGUAUGAUCAGACAGGUGGUUUUAGGCUUAUUUUUUCCUUGAAAAAAUGUACUUGACAGUCAGUUUACUGUAAUAUUGCCCAACAGGAACAACGGAGGCAUUGGACUCAUUUCUCUACAAAGAGAACUCUUUACAGUUCAGAAUUUUGCUUAUAAUGACAGACCUAAAUUAAUACCAGUAAUUACAUUAUAACUUAACAGGAGGAAGAUUAUAGAUGCUAAAAUGCAGCAUAACAAACAAAAUUAAAACAGACAAAAAGGGGUUGAGAAGAGAAACUUCCAAAGGGUAAAAAAGACACCACAACUAAAAGAAUUUGGAUUAAGAGAAGCCCCUGGAAAAAAGCAUUAUGAAAGUUGAGAGAAAAAAAAAUCAUGCAAAUGUGAUGUAUAUUAAAAUGUUAAGGGAUAGGCCGGCGCGGUGGCUCACGCCUGUAAUCCCAGCACUUUGGGAGGCCGAGGAGGGCGGAUCAUGAGAUCAGGAGAUAGAGACCACGGUGAAACCACGUCUCUACUAAAAAUACAAAAAAUUAGCCGGGCGUGGUGGCAGGCGCCUGUAGUCCCAGCUAAUUGGGAGGCUGAGGCAGGAGAAUGGCGUGAAGCCGGAAGGCAGAGCUUGCAGUGAGCCGAGAUUGCGCCGCUGCACUCCAGCCUGGAGAGACAGAGCGAGACUCCAUCUCAAAAAAACAAAAAAAAAACAAAAAAAAAGAAAAAAGUUAAGGGUUAAAAACAAAAAGUAUUAGAAAAAUAUGUUGAAUACUUAAGAGAAAAAAGGCUGCUUUUUUAAAAAAAUGAAUUAUACUUCAAGAAGACUUUUUUUUUACUUAUACUUUCUAUUUUUAUUAUUAUACUUUAAGUUCUAGGGUACAUGUGCACAAUGUGCAGGUUUGAUACAUAGGUAUACAUAUUCCGUGUUGGUGUGCUGCACCCAUUAACUCGUCAUUUACAUUAGGUAUUUAUCCUAAUGCUAUCCCUCCCCCAGCCCCCCACCCCCGACAGGCCCUGGUGUGUGAUGUUCCUUGCCCUGUGUCCAAGUGUUCUCAUUGAUCAAUUCCCACCUAUGAGUGAGAACAUGUGGUGGUUGGUUUUCUGUCCUUGUGAUAGUUUGCUGAGAAUGAUGGUUUCCAGCUUCAUCCAUGUCCCUGCAAAGUACAUGAACUCAUCCCUUUUUAUGGCUGCAUAGUAUUCCAUAGUGUAUAUGUGCCACAUUUUCUUAAUCCAGGCUAUCAUUGAUGGACAUUUGGGUUGGUUCCAAGUCUUUGUUAUUGUGAAUAGUACUGCAAUAAACAUACAUGUGCAUGUGUCUUUAUAGUAGCAUGAUUUAUAAUCCUUUGGGUAUAUACCCAGUAAUGGGAUUGCUGGGUCAAAUGGUAUUUCUAGUUCUAGAUCCUUGAGGAAUCACCACACUGUCUUCCACAAUGGCUGAACUAAUUUACACUCCCACCAACAGUGUAAAAGCAUUCCUAUUUCUCUACAUCCUCUCUGGCAUCUGUUGUUUCCUGAUUUUUUAAUGGUAGC
rnacentral:lncRNA from 1 species